rnacentral:rRNA from 1 species
CGGCGACUUGUAGGUAGUGGCAGGUUAAGGUUAUACCGGAGCCACAGUGCAAGCGAGCCUUAAUAGGGCGUCGUCACUAUUUACAGACCCGAACCCGGAUGAUCUAACCAUGGCCAGUGUGAAACUUGGGUAACACUAAGUGGAGGUACGAACCGACUGUUGUUGAAAAAACAGCGGAUGAGUUGUGGUUAGGGGUGAAAUGCCAAUCGAAUCCGGAGCUAGCUGGUUCUCCCCGAAAUGUGUUUUGGCACAGCGGUUAAUGUUUGAGUUCAGGGGUAAAGCACUGUUUCGGUGCGGGCUGCUAACGCGGUACCAAAUCGUGGCAAACUAAGAAUACUGAACAUCUAUAGUUAACCAGUCAGACUGUGGGGGAUAAGCUCCAUUGUCAAGAGGGAAACAGCCCAGACUACUAGCUAAGGCCCCUAAAUUAUGACUAAGUGAUAAAGGAAGUGGGAAUUCUAAAACAACCAGGAGGUUUGCUUAGAAGCAGCAACCCUUUAAAGAGUGCGUAAUAGCUCACUGUUCGAGUGAUCCUGCGCCGAAAAUGUACGGGGCUAAGUCAUAUGCCGAAGCUGUAGGAUAUAACAUAUAAAUAUCGGUAGGGGAGCGUUCUAUACCGACUUGAAGCGCUAACGUAAGUGGGCGUGGAUUGGAUAGAAGUGAGAAUGUUGGCUUGAGUAGCGAAAAUAUUGGUGAGAAUCCAAUAUCCCGAAAACCUAAGGGUUCCUCCGGAAGGCUCGUCCACGGGGGGUUAGUCAGGGCCUAAGCCGAGGCGGAAAAGCGUAGGCGAUGGACAACAGGUUAAUAUUCCUGUACUUUUUAUUACUGAUAUAGAGGGACGGAGAAGGCCACACUCGCCGAAUGUUGGUUAUCGGUCUAAGUGUUCGAGGUGUUGAGAAACGGUGAAAACGUUUUGAGCUAAGACAUGAUGGGUAGGUAUAGUAAUUAUACCGAAUGAGUUAAAGUCAGGCUUCCAAGAAAAGCUUUUAAUAUCUUAAGUAAUAAAGACCUGUACCCGAAACCGACACAGGUAGGUAGGUAGAGAAUACCAAGGGACGCGAGAUAACUCUCUCUAAGGAACUCGGCAAAAUGACCUCGUAACUUCGGAAGAAGAGGUACCCUGCAAAGGGUUGCAAAAUCCAGGCUCAGGCGACUGUUUAUCAAAAACACAGGUCUCCGCUAAGUUGUAAAACGAUGUAUGGAGGCUGACGCCUGCCCAGUGCCGGAAGGUUUAAGAAGUUGGUUAUUCUUUGAAGAAGCUGAUAACUAAAGCCCCGGUGAACGGCGGCCGUAACAAUAACGGUCCUAAGGUAGCGAAAUUCCUUGUCGGGUAAGUUCCGACCCGCACGAAAGGCGUAACGAUCUGAGCACUGUCUCAGAGAGAGACUCGGCGAAAUAGAUAUGUCUGUGAAGAGGCGGACUACCUGCACCUGGACAAAAAGACCCUAUGAAGCUUUACUGUAGCUUGAAAUUGUUUUCACGUUUUGCAUGCGCAGAAUAGGUGGGAGACUAAGAAGAAAUCUCUUCGGGGGUUUUGGAGUCAUUCGUGAGAUACCACUCUUGUAAGACUAGAAUUCUAACCUCAGACCGUUAUCCGGCUGAGGGACCAUUUUAGGUGGGCAGUUUGACUGGGGCGGUCGCCUCCUAAAAAGUAACGGAGGCGUGCAAAGGUUUCCUCAGGUUGGUUGGAAAUCAACCUUCGAGCGCAAAGGUAUAAGGAAGCUUGAUUGCGAGACCUACAAGUCGAGCAAAGACGAAAGUCGGCCUUAGUGAUCCGACACUACCGAGUGGAAGGAGUGUCGCUCAACGGAUAAAAGUUACUCUAGGGAUAACAGGCUGAUCUCUCCCAAGAGUUCAUAUCGACGGAGAGGUUUGGCACCUCGAUGUCGGCUCAUCGCAUCCUGGGGCGGUAGUACGUCCCAAGGGUUGGGCUGUUCGCCCAUGAAAGCGGUACGCGAGCUGGGUUCAGAACGUCGUGAGACAGUUCGGUCCAUAUCCGGUGUAGGCGUUAGAGCAUUGAGAGAAGCUUUCCUUAGUACGAGAGGACCGGGAAAGAUACACCUCUGGUGUACCAGUUAUUGUGCCAACAGUAAACGCUGGGUAGCUACGUGUAGUUGGAUAACCGCUGAAAGCAUCUAAGUGGGAAGCCAUACUCAAGAUGAGUGCUCUCAUCCUUUAAGGAUUAAGGUCACGGUUAGACUAGCCGUUU